UUGCUGGGUGGAUUAGUGGCGAACGGGUGAGUAACACGUGAGUAACCUGCCCUUGACUCUAGGAUAAGCCCGGGAAACUGGGUCUAAUACUGGAUAGGAACGUCUACCGCAUGGUGGAUGUUGGAAAGAAUUUCGGUCAUGGAUGGACUCGCGGCCUAUCAGCUUGUUGGUGAGGUAAUGGCUCACCAAGGCGACGACGGGUAGCCGGCCUGAGAGGGUGACCGGCCACACUGGGACUGAGACACGGCCCAGACUCCUACGGGAGGCAGCAGUGGGGAAUAUUGCACAAUGGGCGAAAGCCUGAUGCAGCGACGCCGCGUGAGGGAUGACGGCCUUCGGGUUGUAAACCUCUUUCAGUAGGGAAGAAGCGAAAGUGACGGUACCUGCAGAAGAAGCACCGGCUAACUACGUGCCAGCAGCCGCGGUAAUACGUAGGGUGCGAGCGUUAUCCGGAAUUAUUGGGCGUAAAGAGCUCGUAGGCGGUUUGUCGCGUCUGUCGUGAA
rnacentral:rRNA from 1 species